CCAGAUUUAUAUUUUCAUGUAACUUUUGUCUUGGAAAAAAUCCCAUGAACUAUGUACAAAAAAAUUCUGAAACAUUCAGUCGAGGAAUGCAAAAUAACAAAGCUAUGGAAAGACCACAAGAGACAGAAAAGGAAAAUCCUUUCCAAAUCUGAUCUUGCUGAGAAAACAGUCGAGAAUGAACAAGACGGUAAGAUAGAUGAAAUAGAAGAAUAAGCGAAUUUGCUAUAGGUGAGGUGAUGUUUAUUCUACAUAUUCAAACUAAUAAUAUUUAUUAACGUUUAAAAUAGUACAAACACUUUAUUUCCAAAGUAAAUGAGAUAACAUUGAUUUGUAACGUUUUAAAAAAGAUAGAGCACUGAGAAAACCUGUUUUAAAGUUUUGUACAAAGAUCUCCUCAGCCUUAAGACUUCUGGUUGAUGAAAAGCAAAGAAUUUGGUGAACAGUUAGUUUCCAGUAGGGGUUUUAGGGGGACAACUUAAUAUUUUUAUGCAAUUUGAUUAUAAUCGUAAAAGGGUUGUGCUGAUGAUCUUUAGAUUAGAUAAAAAAUAAAGUAUCUACUUUUAAAUCAAACCAGAAAUGUUUAUUGUUAGAGGUAAUACGGGACAUUCCUCUAAACAUUAAUGAAGUGAGAUAAUUUAAGCUUUGUAAGCUUACAAAUAUGGAUCCGAGGAUAAAAUUUCACAUCUUUGCACUGUAAAAAAUUAUGGACUCAAAAUUACACUAUCACAAAAAAUAAUAACGAGAACAGAUUAUUAUAUCGAAAACAUCGCUGACAUUAAACCCCCAAUAGAUGGAGCCAUAACUUCUUACGAGUAAUUUUUUUCGUUGCUGAAAAAUUUUCAUUCCAUUACUUGUAUGAACGAA